rnacentral:rRNA from 1 species
GACCAAGGGUUCCUGCGCAACGUUAAUCGACGCAGGGUUAGUCGGUUCCUAAGGCGAGGCUGAAAAGCGUAGUCGAUGGGAAACAGGUUAAUAUUCCUGUACUUCUGGUUACUGCGAUGGAGGGACGGAGAAGGCUAGGCCAGCUUGGCGUUGGUUGUCCAAGUUUAAGGUGGUAGGCUGAAAUCUUAGGUAAAUCCGGGGUUUCAAGGCCGAGAGCUGAUGACGAGUCGUCUUUUAGAUGACGAAGUGGUUGAUGCCAUGCUUCCAAGAAAAGCUACUAAGCUUCAGGUAACCAGGAACCGUACCCCAAACCGACACAGGUGGUCGGGUAGAGAAUACCAAGGCGCUUGAGAGAACUCGGGUGAAGGAACUAGGCAAAAUGGCACCGUAACUUCGGGAGAAGGUGCGCCGGCUAGGGUGAAGGAUUUACUCCGUAAGCUCUGGCUGGUCGAAGAUACCAGGCCGCUGCGACUGUUUAUUAAAAACACAGCACUCUGCAAACACGAAAGUGGACGUAUAGGGUGUGACGCCUCCCCGGUGCCGGAAGGUUAAUUGAUGGGGUUAGCGCAAGCGAAGCUCUUGAUCGAAGCCCCGGUAAACGGCGGCCGUAACAAUAACGGUCCUAAGGUAGCGAAAUUCCUUGUCGGGUAAGUUCCGACCUGCACGAAUGGCGUAACGAUGGCGGCGCUGUCUCCACCCGAGACUCAGUGAAAUUGAAAUCGCUGUGAAGAUGCAGUGUAUCCGCGGCUAGACGGAAAGACCCCGUGAACCUUUACUGUAGCUUUGCACUGGACUUUGAGCCUGCUUGUGUAGGAUAGGUGGGAGGCUUUGAAGCGUGGACGCCAGUUCGCGUGGAGCCAUCCUUGAAAUACCACCCUGGCAUGCUUGAGGUUCUAACUCUGGUCCGUAAUCCGGAACGAGGACAGUGUAUGGUGGGCAGUUUGACUGGGGCGGUCUCCUCCUAAAGAGUAACGGAGGAGUACGAAGGUGCGCUCAGACCGGUCGGAAAUCGGUCGCAGAGUAUAAAGGCAAAAGCGCGCUUGACUGCGAGACAGACACGUCGAGCAGGUACGAAAGUAGAUCUUAGUGGUCCGGUGGUUCUGUAUGGAAGGGCCAUCGCUCAACGGAUAAAAGGUACUCCGGGGAUAACAGGCUGAUACCGCCCAAGAGUUCAUAUCGACGGCGGUGUUUGGCACCUCGAUGUCGGCUCAUCACAUCCUGGGGCUGAAGCCGGUCCCAAGGGUAUGGCUGUUCGCCAUUUAAAGUGGUACGCGAGCUGGGUUUAGAACGUCGUGAGACAGUUCGGUCCCUAUCUGCCGUGGACGUUUGAGAUUUGAGAGGGGCUGCUCCUAGUACGAGAGGACCGGAGUGGACGAACCUCUGGUGUUCCGGUUGUCACGCCAGUGGCAUUGCCGGGUAGCUAUGUUCGGAAAAGAUAACCGCUGAAAGCAUCUAAGCGGGAAACUUGCCUCAAGAUGAGAUCUCACUGGGAACUUGAUUCCCCUGAAGGGCCGUCGAAGACUACGACGUUGAUAGGCUGGGUGUGUAAGCGUUGUGAGGCGUUGAGCUAACCAGUACUAAUUGCCCGUGAGGCUUGACCU